GGUUCCAUAGUGCAGUGGUUAGCAUGUCUGCUUUACACGCAGAAGGUCCUGGGUUCGAGCCCCAGUGGAACCA
rnacentral:tRNA from 1 species